rnacentral:rRNA from 1 species
AUUGAACGCUGGCAGCAGGCUUAACACAUGCAAGUCGAGCGGGGGAGGUUACUUCGGUAACUGACCUAGCGGCGGACGGGUGAGUAAUGCUUAGGAAUCUGCCUAUUAGUGGGGGACGACAUUCCGAAAGGAAUGCUAAUACCGCAUACGUCCUACGGGGGAAAGCAGGGGAUCUUCGGACCUUGCGCUAAUAGAUGAGCCUAAGUCGGAUUAGCUAGUUGGUGGGGUAAAGGCCUACCAAGGCGACGAUCUGUAGCGGGUCUGAAAGGAUGAUCCGCCACACUGGGACUGAGACACGGCCCAGACUCCUACGGGAGGCAGCAGUGGGGAAUAUUGGACAAUGGGGGAACCCUGAUCCAGCCAUGCCGCGUGUGUGAAGAAGGCCUUUUGGUUGUAAAGCACUUUAAGCGAGGAGGAGGCUCCUUUAGUUAAUACCUAAAGAGAGUGGACGUUACUCGCAGAAUAAGCACCGGCUAACUCUGUGCCAGCCGCCGCUGUAA